rnacentral:rRNA from 1 species
GAUGAACGCUGGCGGCGUGUUUAAGGCAUGCAAGUCGAACGUGUACCUUCGGGUACAAGUGGCAAACGGGAGAGUAACACAUUGGUAACCUACCUCGAAGUUCGGGACAACCCAUCGAAAGAUGGGCUAAUACCGGAUGUGGCCGUUAUAUAAUUUAUAACGUCUAAAGAUUUAUCGCUUCGAGAGGGGCCUAUGGUCUAUCAGCUUGUUGGUGGGGUAAAAGCCUACCAAGGCGACGACGGAUAGCGGGUGUGAGAGCAUGACCCGUCUCACUGGGACUGAGACACUGCCCAGACUCCUACGGGUGGCUG